AAUCUCCCUAUUGUAGUAAUCGCCACCCGUGAUGCUUGUUUUAGCAAACAACAAUCAGUCAUUCAACAACUUCAUGCACGGAAAGGUCGACUGAUAGUGAUGUGCACAGAAGGAGAUGCAGCAUCUGUUUCUGUUGGUGGAUCAUGUCGAGUUAUUGAAGUUCCACAGGUUGCGGACUGUUUGCAGCCAGUAAUCAAUGUAGUUCCAUUACAGUUAUUGGCCUAUCAUCUGACUGUACUGCGUGGAUACAAUGUUGAUCAACCUCGCAAUCUUGCCAAAAGUGUCACAACACAGUGAGCUAACCAUUUUCAAAGUCUUGAGCUAUGUUCAACCUCUACCACUUGAUGACAACAAUUAGUUCUACUAGUACAGCUUUUGACUCCUCCUACAGGCCGCAUUGACCCGAACAAUAUAUUUAAUUCACUUUGUAACAUCUAGGUUCUGUUUUCUGGGUAACAUAUUUAACAUAGCGGUGUUUUCUUAUUAGUGAUUGGUUAUAUAGCUGAGCUAUUCUUGUAGACUAAGAACUAUGGAAGGAGGAUAGAUGAAGAUCAUUUGGAGCAAGUCUCAAGAAAUUUCUUUUGAUUAAGUGUAUUUGUGUUACUGUUGAUGUGGCAAUAGAAAUGAGAGAUUGAAUUUCAAUGAGUGCAUUUCAGGAAGAGUACUCUGUGAUGUUCAAAGUUUGCAGUGAAUUAUCGUAGUGUAUUUCUAGUGGUGGUUGGUUCAUUACCUUUCCCAAAUAAGA